rnacentral:rRNA from 1 species
GACGAACGCUGGCGGCGUGCUUAACACAUGCAAGUCGAACGGAAAGGCCCUGCUUUUGUGGGGUGCUCGAGUGGCGAACGGGUGAGUAACACGUGAGUAACCUGCCCUUGACUUUGGGAUAACUUCAGGAAACUGGGGCUAAUACCGGAUAGGAGCUCUUGCUGCAUGGUGGGGGUUGGAAAGGUUCGGCGGUUGGGGAUGGACUCGCGGCUUAUCAGCUUGUUGGUGGGGUAGUGGCUUACCAAGGCUUUGACGGGUAGCCGGCCUGAGAGGGUGACCGGCCACAUUGGGACUGAGAGACGGCCCAGACUCCUACGGGAGGCAGCAGUGGGGAAUAUUGCACAAUGGGCGGAAGCCUGAUGCAGCAACGCCGCGUGCGGGAUGACGGCCUUCGGGUUGUAAACCGCUUUCGCCUGUGACGAAGCGUGAGUGACGGUAAUGGGUAAAGAAGCACCGGCUAACUACGU